rnacentral:lncRNA from 1 species
CCAAAACCCCAAACCGCAAACCCCCAAACCCCAAACCACAAGCCCAAAUCCCAAAAAUCCUAAACCCUGAAACCCCAAACCUCAAACCCUAAACCUCAAACCCCAACCCCAAAAUCUAAAUCCUAAAUCUUAAACCCUAAACACUAAGCACUAAACCCUAAACACUCCUAAACCCUAAAUCUUAAACCUUAUAGCCUAAAUCCCUAAAACCCUAAAUCCUAAA